UUGACUUCUGGAGGAACAGGAGUAAACAACCCUGUUUACAUCCUGGGAGAAGAGGUGGAGGAAUACCAGCACCACGGAGUUCAGCUGGACAACAGACUGGACUGAAAAUCCCUCAGAAGCUUCUAGAAGAAAGACCAGAACAGACUCCUGAGAUCCUUCAGUCUCCGAACCAAGAUGUGUCAGAUCUUCUAUCAGCCUGUGGUGGAGAGGUCUCUCGGCUCUGCAGCGUCCUCCUACAGAACCAAAGACUUCUGGUUCUAUCGGGAUCCAGAGGUUCUGGUUCUGUUCUGGGGCACGUCCUCUACACAACCCAGUGAGGAGGGUUCAGUCGGAUACAGGAGGUCAUACCUGCUACAAAGCCAUUUCCUUCUGGCACUGAUGGCAUAUUUUUCCUUUCAUUUCAUAAUCCCUCACUACCAGGAAACACUCCUCUGUGUGGAAGCACCCACAGCAGCUAGAAGGAACCUGUGGACUUCCUCUAAAGUCUAACGACAUCCAGCCCUGGCAGGAACCCUGAAAGGCUCUCCGGUGCUGUGGGCUCAGGCCGACCGUCCAAUCCUUGGUGGUGGUCCGUGACUUCCCUUGUUUGCUGUGUACGUGAGUGUGAGUGAUAACUCGGGGCCUGCCCCUGAAGGUGUUUUCAGCCUCUGGCCACUGAUGGUUCAUGCACCCGGACCGUCUGCAUCCUCAGCAGCUUGCUCAGUGUGGUUGAGACCGGGGAUACCCAGAAAAGAAGCCAAACACAGUCACCAGCAUGAAGUGCGGUGUGGAUGUGAUGGACCAGAGGGGUGCAGGAGAGACGGCUGGACUUCCUGGUGGAGUUUGCAAGUGAACUUGCUCAGUCGCAUGUGGGAGCCAAGAAGGCAAAUAAGGACAAACUUCUUCUGCAGCAACCUCCCACACCUGCAAGGGAAAAGGGUAACGUGUCAGACAAUGCAGACAAAGUGCUGAAACGCCGGUCAAACACACAAACAAGGACCUGCCACCAUCCAAGCAUCGGGUGUUUUUAUCCACAUGCUGCGCAGGUUUGUGUGUAUGUGUAUGUUCUUGUAGUCAUUUCUAAGAAAAUGAACAUGUCUUUCUAAUAAAACAGGCCAAUAAUUUCUCUUUCAUUAUGAGCUCAACUGUAGCCGGAAAUUUGUGAGAACUAUGUUUUGAAAUCAGUACAAAAAAAAGAAGAAGCUUGCCAUGUGAGAAGUGUGAGCAUGGAUAACAUGGAUGCACAUUUCACCGGCUAGAAAUCACUCUUGAUGAUCACAAUACAGUUUCACACGGAGUGAGUAUCUACAAAUGUUA